UCACAAGAAUAAAUAAAUGCGGUCAAAAAAGAAAAGUAUCAUCUGGUAAAAUUUUCUUCUUUUCUUCUUUUCUUCUUUUCUUCUUUUCUUCUUUUUCUAACACC
rnacentral:ribozyme from 1 species